UGAGCAAUCUGCCCUUCUCUUCGGAAUAAGCGUGGGAAACCGCGUCUAAUGCCGAAUACGACCUCCUUUCACAUGAUCGGAGGUGGAAAGCUCCGGCGGAGAAGGAUGAGCUCGCGGCCUAUCAGCUAGUUGGUGUGGGUAAUGGCCCACCAAGGCGACGACGGGUAGCCGGCCUGAGAGGGUGACCGGCCACACUGGGACUGAGACACGACCCAGACUCCUACGGGAGNAG
rnacentral:rRNA from 1 species